rnacentral:snoRNA from 1 species
CUGCAACCAAUUAAGCCAACCAAGUUCCUUUUCUCACAGAGGCCCAGUGUGCAAACAGCAGCUUUCUUGGUAAUAUACACAGCCAAUUUUGUGAAUGGGCUACUCUAAGGGACCCUGGAGACAACC